GAUGAACGCUAGCGGCAGGCCUAAUACAUGCAAGCCGAACGGCAAGUCUUUUAGCAAUAGAAGACCUAGAGUGGCGUAAGGGUGCGUAACACGUAUGCAAUCUGCCCUCAACAGGAGGAUAGCUCCCCGAAAGGGGAAUUAAGCCUCCAUAGGAUCGUAAUGUGGCAUCACAUAGCGAUUAAACUACCAGGGGUUGAGGAUGAGCAUGCGCAUGAUUAGUUAGUUGGCGGGGUAACGGCCCACCAAGACGAUGAUCAUUAGGGGAACUGAGAGGUUGAUCCCCCACACUGGGCACUGAGAUACGGGCCAGACUCCUACGGGAGGCAGCAGUAGGGAAUAUUGGACAAUGGGUGCAAGCCUGAUCCAGCCAUGCCGCGUGAGUGAAGAAGGCC
rnacentral:rRNA from 1 species